rnacentral:misc_RNA from 1 species
UCGUGACGCGACGUCAUUGCCGCGGCACGCAUCAGUCAGCACUAACACCGGCUGGCCAUCGAAGGUCGCACUGCGAUACCCAACACAGCACUGCAGCAAAGCACGCGCAACAGCAAACAACAGAAGCAUCCGUUAUACAUAUCGCUCAGCCGCCCUGCCUCGUGUGCUGCGAGAUGAUCGACUACUACCAGUUUCUGGGCUUGAACCGGCAGUCGGGUGAUGACGAUGUGGCAAAGGCCUAUCGCCGGUACGCGCUCGCCUACAACCCGCAGUGUCACCCCGACAGCACCGACCAAGAGACGCUGCAGCGCAACUUCAUGAUGGCGGCGCAGGCGUACACGGUGCUCUCUGAUCCGAAGAAGCGCGCCAUCUAUGACAUCUACGGUGAGGAGGGCGUCCGCCACGGUGGCACCGGCCAACAGGGGGUGCCGGGCGGUAUCGACCUCGAUUUCAUUGAUCCCAACGCCGUCUUCACCCGAUUCUUCGGCGUCGACAACCCGUUCCAGGUGAUCGGCAACGUGGAUGCGGUGAAGAACAACCAGCACAACUUCUUUAGCGUCAUCGCCGGCAUGCCGCCGAACCCGCCCAAAUGCCCGGCGAUCGAAGUAAAGCUGCCGGUGACGCUCGAGGACGUAUUUUACGGCGCCAUGCGCCGAGCCGCGUGGAAUGCGACGCAUGCUGGCGUGCCAACACUCGAUGCUGCUGUGACUACAACGGAGGAGUCUUACGAGGUGCGUGUAGAGAAGGGUGCGAGGACGGGCGAUCAUUUCACUGUCGAAGGCCGCGGCAACACCUACCCGGGGUACGCGCGUGGUGAUGUUGUCGUGGUGGUGGACGUCAUGCCGCACACUCGGUUUCGUCGGGAGGGCGACGACUUGGUCACAAAGGCAGACAUCUCUCUCCGCGACGCGCUCUGCGGCACUACCGUGACGGUGAGCACGAUGGAGGGCCGUGAGCUGUCCAUCCUGAUUGACGAGAUUGUCGACCCUGCCUACCGCACGCGCAUCACAGGGGAGGGUCUGCCGAGCAGCGGCGUCGGUGAUGCCACACGCGGAGACCUCAUCAUCGAGUUUACCACAAAGUUCCCAAGCUUCUUGACAGCGGAGCAGAAGGCAGAGAUUGGUCGUAUCUUGGAUGCCAACUAGCGCCGUUCGCGUCUCUGCUCGUGCUCUGUCGUCUUCUUCUGUGAGUGUAGUCGAUGCGCGCGCGCCGUCAUCAGAGCUUCUUUCUCAUCCGCGGUGGCUCUCCGCAUCGACAUAUGUGUGUGAGUUUUACCUAUGAAAAUGUGUCGACUUGCGCAGCGGCAGUGGUGGCUGUGGUACGCAUAUCUUCGAGCUCCGAGACGGCAUCGGGUACUUUGGCUGGUGGAGGUUCUACGCAGACGAGCUUCAGUGAUAAGAUAACCAGCUCAUGGAGUGGCCAUGUAGAGUUGUAUUGAGACCGUGCAAGGGUGCCUCUGUGCGCAUGGGUGGGUGCAUGACUCACAUGGCGCAUUGCCGUCGUUUUUCUUCCUUUUCGUUGUUUGAUCUGUGUUGAUUCAGUGCGUCUUUUGUGAGCCUCUAUUCGCUUUCUGCGCGCAUCGGUGCCCGAGUCUCUCAGGCGCUGCCGUUGCGCGCUGCUCACGCGCUCUCCUAUCUCGCGGUGUUCGCAGAGAUGCAUGUAUCGUAGCGCAAUUUUGUACGCUUAGCUCUUCCCCUCCCCCUUUUCAAGCGGACACCUCAGC